UAGAAGAGCUGCCGGACAAAGCUGGGGCCUGACGGAGGGAGGUGCUUGCAAGAGCCGGAGAAAGAGGGAGGAAUCAAUUAUGUUGCAAGCAACGCCGCGGCGCUUUGUUGACAGUGGGCUUUGUGGCCAACAAGCUUGCCUCUCCUGCCGGGGUGAUCUUGUCUAAACUUAGGCGGACAAUACCAACCGCGCAGCAACAGCGGCGCUAUUAGAAUAGUGUCUCUUGAGGCCAGAUGUGCAGAAGAUGAGCCUGAAGAUUAAUUUUCAGUUGAUAAUCCCAGAUGUUUAAUUAGUGCAGCAAUGGCCUGUUGCACUGUCAAAAUUAAUCAGAAAAGGUGUCUUAAAAAGCAAACUGAUAAUUUUGUUCAGAAGCUUAAAACUGAAAUGUUUCUUUAGCUUAAGACAGCUUUUGGAAUUAACCACUUCUGUUGCAAAAAUGCUUAUUACUGGAAGAAGUUACAUAAAUGUUUGCUUGUUCGUGAUAGUGGACAUUUAAUAAAAGGGUAUUAAUUUAUUAACUUGUGGACAGAGUUUAGCAGUUAUAAUCUAAUAACAAUCUCUCUCUCUCCCCCUCCACCCCUUCUUUCUCUCUUUCUCUCUGUCUCUGGCUUUUAACUAGCUUAAUUAGCUAACACCUCAUUAAGAUAUCUUUUUGACAGUGAAGUAAGUCCAAUAUAAAUUUUGGCAUUGUCCACAAGAAUUCGCCAAAGCAAAUUUUCAUAUUUUCUUUUCAUAAUUUUAACAUGAUUCAUCUGAAGGUAACCUGUACUGCCCAUCCCUAGGAAAGGAUGUCUGGGAAGAAUAUCUAUUCAAUGGCAGCCUCUGCCCUGCAGAACACUCUGACCACUGGACUUCAACAGGCCUCUCUACUUUUCUAGUCAUCCAUAAAGCUUUGAAGGCCUGGCUUUUCCUCCAAGCGCUCGGAUAAGAGAGUAUAUGACUUCGUGUGAGAUUUUUGUUGUAUUUAACAUUUUUUAACAUGCUUAGUUUUUAUAGUUUCUAUAUUAUAAGAUGGGCGGCUGUAUACAGUUCAAGUUUUAAAUAAAUAAACAAAUAAAUUGUA